rnacentral:rRNA from 2 species
GCGUUGAGCUAACCAAUACUAAUUGCCCGUGAGGCUUGACCAUAUAACACCCAAGCAAUU